AUGGUCAACCCAAACGCUGCCUUUGACAACUAUGUCUACAACCUCUGUUACAACAAUGACAAGCAGACUGCCCUGUGUCAGAUUCUCUCAAGUUACACCACUGCUUGCCAGGAGGAAGGGGCAAACGUAGAUGAAUGGAGGGCUUCAGAUUUUUGUGUCCAAGCCCUUAAUCUGUUGACCUGGCCCAGAAAGCUGAUUGCUGGGUGCUCGGAGGCCACCACUACUACACCUUUGAUGGCCUGGUGUUUAACUACCAUGGAAACUACUCUGGUCCAGAAAUGCACCCAAACCAGUACUGCAGAACCCUUCUCGGUAAUGGUGCAAACCGACCAUGCUCAGAACCACUUUUCAUCUAUUAAAGCGCUACAGCUCACUGUGUACAAGGACCACACUGUUAUCCAGAGCGGCUGUUGUUGGGUGAAUGGCCAGAGAAGGCUCCUGCCUUUGACUCUCCAUUCUGGCUCGGUGAAGAUCCAUCAGAGCAGUCUGUCCUCGGUCGUUGACACCAGCUUCGGCCUCCAUGUCAAAUACGACUGGUUCUACUACAUCCUGCUAAGCCUGCCCAGGAGAAGCUCUGACGUGUGGCAACAACCAUGGCAACAAGGACAAUGA
rnacentral:lncRNA from 13 species